CCGUGGCCUCCAUACCUUACAGGCGGCUCCGCGCUGCGCCGUGGCCCAGGACGGCGAGGGGAGCCAGAGCGAGUCGAUAGAAGCCGAGGUCGAGCGUAGAAUUAUCGAUGGGCCUCUAGGGCGAGACCAUGUGCGGACAGGGGAACCGCCAAACUGGGAGGAGCCUUUUACCUACAUUACUACGCAUGGAGUCCUUACAACGACUCUGAUGAGGAAGAACCGCCCUCAUUUUGGAGGAAACAGAGGCUCAAAGAUGUAGAACCAUGUAUCCAAGAGGACACGACUGGAAGACGUUCCUCCGGUAUGCUAGUCACAUUGCCAGACUCUGUAGAUACAAAGAUGCCAAGCACCCAGGCAGAGAAACCUAAGAAUAUCACAGUAUCUACAGCAGCCUUUUAUCAAGCAUGUACUAAGUCCUGCUGCAAAGUGCUUUAGGGACAUCAUCGCAAGGAAUCCUCCAGGAAUCUCAUGCUUACCCUCAUCUCCCUGUGGGGGCACAGACUCAGAAAGACAAAGUGACCAGCUCAUGGCCACAAAACUGAUAAGAGGAUGAACUGGGACAAGUCCAGAAGCCAACAUGGGUUCAAAGUCCAGAUUCAUGACCUCGAGACUUUGGGACAUCAGAUGAGCCACUUAGCUUCUCUAAGCCUCAGUUUCUUCAUCCUUAAAAUGAGGACAGUAAGUCCAACCUCAUCUAUAAAGUGACCAGCACAGUGCCUGGCCUGAGCAGGUACCCAGGAAUCAGUCACUGUAAGGGUUGUGAGGGCCCUUGCAUUUUAGGAGCCCCCCCAGCUCUGCACAUGCCAGAAAACCGGGGCUUGCUCCCUAACCUCAGGGGAGACGCCACAAAGGGAAUGGCCAGCUGCCCUUGUGAUCCCGGGACCCCUGCUUCCCCUGCCCCACCUCCUCGACCUGCUUGAUGGUUGUGCCACAGGAAGCAGGGGCAGGACACCCUUCAUGUGUGCCACCCUCACCAAAUUCUCCCUGCAGCCUUGUCCAGUGGGGGUGGUGACCUGCCCCUCUCUGCGAAUGAGGAAACAGAGCCUGGGCCAGGACUCAGACCCCAACUGGUCUGUCUCUAGAAUGCUACAGGCCUGGAGUGGCCCAGGCCUGCAGGCAGGAGGUCAGAGGGUGACACUUCUGUCGGGGGUGGGGUAGGGUCAGCAUCUGUCAGCCAGGACUGUCCUUCCUGGGGCCCCAGAACCCGCCGCUGGAGGCUGGAGAGAACGCAGGGUGGGCGCUAGCUUGGGGGGUGGUGCGGGGUAGGGGAGCUGAGGCCCCUCUGCUGUGGAUGUGGGACCUGCCCCUGGGCUGGGUCCAGACUGAGGCUGGGGGAAGCUGUCCCCGCAUUAUUUGUGGAGAGGAGCCAGCCGCUGCAGGGAAAGAGGUGAAGCUGGGGGCAGGGAGAGCGGGUUCCCUGACACCGAAUUCAUUACUGGGAGAUUCCUCCUCACAGCCCCUCCACACCUCCCACGGGAACCGCGGCCACUGGCGCCCGGGUCUCUCCGUGCCGGCCCCCGCCCGCCCCUGCCUCGGUAAUCC